CAUGCACUAGGCCCCAACAAACCAAGCCAAACCAAAAUGGAGUUGCUCAUGCUAAGACGUUAAAGAAACACAUAGAUUCUAGAACAGAUGAAGCUUUGUUUUUUCUCCUGCAAAUCUCUAUAACAAACAUUUCUGACAGCAUAGGUAUCCACUCCGUGAAGUUCCCAUUAAAUUUUUUAACCAAAUUCAUUUCUUCUCACCUAGAGACCAUCAAGCUUCAGAUGAUCAUGCAACAAAGGUUCCAGCCAGUUCAAGGUGAAGACACCACCCCUGACUGUCAGGGAGCACCUACCCUGCCUCCACCAGACUGAGCAAGGACAUAUUGGAGACACUGGUAAUUUUCCCAAGGCUUUGACUGGAAUGACAUCUUUUCAGAUAUGACCAGACGGGUUUGAGGAAUUAAAGUUGACUUAAAGAACUGGCCUGAUACCUUGUCUACAUGGUUCUCUUACAAGGUUCCUGACCUUGUGAGAUAUCGUCUUGUUAUGUUGCCCAGGCUGAUCUCAAACUCCUGCCUCAAACAGUCUUUCCAUCUUGGCUUCCCAAAGCUCCUGGGAUUACUGGCAUGAACCACCAUGCCCAGCCAUUCUUUAGCAUGUUUAUCUUGUUCUGAGCAUUAGUCUUCAUUCCCAGUGUGUUUUGCUGAGUUACUCCA
rnacentral:lncRNA from 1 species